UACAGAGGUCUCAAGCGUUGUUCGGAUUCAUUGGGCGUAAAGGGUGCGUAGGCGGCGCGGUAAGUCGGGUGUGAAAUCUCGGAGCUUAACUCCGAAACUGCAUUCGAUACUGCCGUGCUUGAGGACUGGAGAGGAGACUGGAAUUUACGGUGUAGCGGUGAAAUGCGUAGAUAUCGUAAGGAAGACCAGUGGCGAAGGCGGGUCUCUGGACAGUUCCUGACGCUGAGGCACGAAAGUCAGGGGAGCAAACGGG
rnacentral:rRNA from 1 species